rnacentral:RNase_P_RNA from 1 species
CCGCAUACACGCUCUAUCGCUGACACCUUGGGUGGAAGAGGAAAGUCCGAGCAACAUAGAGCACCGCGCAAGUUAACGGCUUGAUAUCCGUGAGGGUAUAGUAGCGUAGAAGAAAAUAACCGCCCGUAAGGGUAAGGGUGAGAAGGCGGGAUAAGAGCCCACCGCGAGGGUAGCAAUACUCCUCGGCAGUACGUCUCGUGGGUUGCAAGACCAUGUAUACCGACAAUUAA